ACUUAGUGAUGUGGGCAUUUAUGUAAAACGUCCCUAAAGUGCUCCCUUGUCUCGAAAAAUUGCUCACCAUAUAUCUGUGAGAGACUGGUGAUUUACUUCUUAAGCU